AGAGUUUGAUCCUGGCUCAGAUUGAACGCUUUUGGAAUGCUUUACACAUGCAAGUCGAACGAUGAACCUUAGCUUGCUAAGGGGAUUAGUGGCGAACGGGUGAGUAAUAUAUCGGAACGUGCCUUGUAGUGGGGGAUAACUAGUCGAAAGAUUACCUAAUACCGCAUACGCCCUGAGGGGGAAAGUAGGGGAUCUUCGGACCUUACGUUAUAAGAGCGGCCGAUAUCUGAUUAGCUAGUUGGUGGGGUAAUGGCCUACCAAGGCGACGAUCAGUAGCUGGUCUGAGAGGACGACCAGCCACACUGGAACUGAGACACGGUCCAGACUCCUACGGGAGGCAGCAGUGGGGAAUUUUGGACAAUGGGCGCAAGCCUGAUCCAGCCAUUCCGCGUGAGUGAAGAAGGCCUUCGGGUUGUAAAGCUCUUUCGCAAGGGAAGAAAACUUACUUUCUAAUAAAGAGUGAGGCUGACGGUACCUUGAUAAGAAGCACCGGCUAACUACGUGCCAGCAGCCGCGGUAAUACGUAGGGUGCGAGCGUUAAUCGGAAUUACUGGGCGUAAAGCGUGCGCAGGCGGUUUGGCAAGUCAGAUGUGAAAUCCCCGAGCUCAACUUGGGAACUGCGUUUGAAACUGCCAGACUAGAAUAUGUCAGAGGGGGGUAGAAUUCCACGUGUAGCAGUGAAAUGCGUAGAGAUGUGGAGGAAUACCAAUGGCGAAGGCAGCCCCCUGGGAUAAUAUUGACGCUCAUGCACGAAAGCGUGGGGAGCAAACAGGAUUAGAUACCCUGGUAGUCCACGCCCUAAA
rnacentral:rRNA from 1 species